rnacentral:rRNA from 1 species
UACGUAGGGUGCGAGCGUUAAUCGGAAUUACUGGGCGUAAAGCGUGCGUAGGCGGUUCGUUAAGUCUGCUGUGAAAGCCCCGGGCUCAACCUGGGAAUGGCAGUGGAUACUGGCGAGCUAGAGUGUGUCAGAGGAUGGUGGAAUUUACGGUGUAGCGGUGAAAUGCGUAGAUAUCGUAAGGAAGACCAGUGGCGAAGGCGACUACCUGGCCUGUUCUUGACGCUGAGGCGCGAAAGCUAGGGGAGCAAACGGG